ACAUGUGUUAUUUAGGGAUCUUAUGAAAAACCAGAUUCUGAUUCUACAGGCCUGGGUGGGCUCUCAGAUCCUGUAUUUAUAAAAAAACUCCCAAGUGGUAUUGGU
rnacentral:pre_miRNA from 1 species